AUUUUUUAAAAUAUUAAUAAACUUGUUUGGGAUCAGGAUGAAGGAAUGUUCAAACAGAAUUGAUAUAAUUGUAGGCACAUAAAACCUUUUAAACCAAAAGAGAGAGAUGGAAAGAGAAAGAAAGAGAGGAUAUACUUAAAAUACAUUCAAGGACACUCAAUAAUUGAUAUAACUGGACACUGCCCAUGCAAGAGAGAGAGAGGAGGGAAAAAGAGAGAGGGAGAGAGAAUCUCAAGCAGACUUUCUGCUGAGCCCGGAGCCUGACACCCAAGAGACAUCACGACCCUGAGAUCGCCAUCUCAAAAGAGACCGAGAGGCAGACACUUAAUCAGCUGCACCACCCAAGCACCCCAGGUCCAGAUUUUUUUUUUUUUCAGAUAUUUUAAAAUCAAAACUUAAAGGGUUAGUAAUUUUGGCAUUAUUAACAUUCAUCUUGGCAUUUACUUGAAAUUCAUGGUCAGAAGAAUGUUCUCCUCCUUGGAACUCAUUUAAUUACCCAU
rnacentral:lncRNA from 1 species